GCUGGGUGUGAUGGCUCACGCCUGUAAUCCCAGCACUUUGGGAGGCUGAGGCGGGAGGAUCACCUGAGGUCAGGAGUUCAAGACCAGCCUGGCCAACAUGGUGAAAUCCUGUCUCUA
rnacentral:SRP_RNA from 1 species